GCUGGUGUUUAGGUGGGAGUUCCUAGGAAUUUUAUACUACUGACCACAGAGGCCAAGAGAGAAAGGAAAUAGGAAAAACAGUGUAAAUACCUGGGUGACUAAUGACUUUGCGCAGCUUAGCUGGCUUUUCUGAACAUUUAAGUCUCUUCUGGGGGAAACACCCUGAAAAAUUUUCAGGACCCUGCGUGACAUCGAAGGGGCAGAUUAUGAGUGUUUACUGCAGGCGGUUGGUUUUGUUCACCGACUACCGGGCAGAGAGAUUUUCUGCCGAUCUCUCCAAGCGAUGGACUCCAUUUGCAUGCGUGGUGCAGACAUUUUGCCGAGCACCGGGGUUCCCAGGCCUCCGAUUGUAAAGGAUUGUUAAGGCCACCCCUUCCCUCGUUCACAUGGAUAGCGCCUAAGAGGAUUUAGAAUCAAGUGGGCACAUUUGCACGGCCUUGUUCUGAAGAGGCAGCUGGAGCGCGGGCCGGCCGGCCUGGCGCAGCCAACCGCGGGUCCCGGGGGACCGCAUUGUCCUCCGAGGGGCCGCCACGGGGGCUCCAUUGUGCGCGGAGCAGGCCUUUUUCUCCUGCCCUCUGUCUCCCCCGGGCCUCCUCCCCCGUCCCCCCCCCCCCCCCCCACGCAGACUUUUCUCUCAAGCUGCCCGGAUCCCCCUGCUGCCGCAUUUCCAAUGCAGAGGAGCGGGCAGGGCUUCGGGCUGGCCAUCUGCACGCGGAGAUUGACAGCGGCCCCGGAAGGUUGAAAAGGAAGACAGGAGUUUCUGGAUGUACCUGUCAAGACUAAAUGAUUGUUCAUUUCCUGUGAAUUGGGAAUAACGUAAUCACAUGCAGCUGGGGAGCUAGGCUGUGUUUCUUGCUUUUUCCUCUUCCAGAAGCUGGGUCCCUUACCAGCUGGGAAAUAUUACUGUAUGAACGUGCUGAAAAACUUAAGGGAAAUGAAAAGAACAACAACAUUCUAGAUGUCAGCAAUCAGUUUGAUAGUCUUACCUGUACCAACCUGAGAGGAUUUUAAUAGCAAAAAGAACUGCCUUUUCUGACGUCUACCAAACACAAGAUGAUGAGGAUGACAAUAAUAAAAAAUAUCAAUGCUGCUGGAGCUCCGUGGGGACUCUUCAGAAUGACACAGCACUUACACAUCCAUUAGGUCAUUUCUUUUCCCUCUUCUCUCUCUUAGUGCUUCGAGGCCAGCAGUGAGAGCAUCGUCACUCCAUCUCACAGUUCACUUAUUUAUUUUGCGAGACGGAGAGAGCGAACAAGAGAGGGGCAGAGAGAGAAGG